UAGGGAAUCUUCCGCAAUGGACGCAAGUCUGACGGAGCAACGCCGCGUGAGUGAAGAAGGAUUUCGGUUCGUAAAACUCUGUUGUUAGAGAAGAACAGCGCAUAGAGUAACUGUUAUGCGUGUGACGGUAUCUAACCAGAAAGCCACGGCUAACUACGUGCCAGCAGUCGCGGUAAUACGUAGGUGGCAAGCGUUGUCCGGAUUUAUUGGGCGUAAAGCGAGCGCAGGCGGUCAAUUAAGUCUGAUGUGAAAGCCCCCGGCUCAACCGGGGAGGGUCAUUGGAAACUGGUUGACUUGAGUGCAGAAGAGGAGAGUGGAAUUCCAUGUGUAGCGGUGAAAUGCGUAGAUAUAUGGAGGAACACCGGUGGCGAAAGCGGCUCUCUGGUCUGUAACUGACGCUGAGGCUCGAAAGCGUGGGGAGCGAACAGG
rnacentral:rRNA from 1 species